GAGCCGGAGCGUGACUCGAGCAUCGCUGUGGAAGCCCGCGGCCGCCCCCUCCCGAGCUCGGAGCCGUCCCCUAAAGUUUAUUUUUAGCCCCCGGAAAGCGCUAUAAAGGUCCCGCCGAGCGAGCGGGACUGGGAGACGUGGCAUCGUGCUGCCUGCAGCCACUUCUCUGAACUGUUACCUUCAAAAUGAAGAGAACAAAGAAUGCCUUGGAAAAAUCCAGUCGUAACAUCUGAGGAAUAGAAAUAAUAGGAAAUACUUGUAAGGUCAGAAUUUGGAUGGAAUUUAUGGAAAGUUACAAAAGGCCCUAUUACAGUUGAAUCUAGAUUUGGGAAUUUUAAUUUUAUACUUAAUAAAGAUAUCAGUGCAUCUUUUCCUCUACUUUGGAUGAUAAUGCAUUCUGUUGUCUUUAGCCUUGCACAACUUUCUUAUACCAACUAACGUACCUUCAGCUUAAUUCUUUAGUUGUUAGACCUAAGACACCUCCUCACACCAAGCUAGAGCAUGAAUUUAAUAAACCAUUUGUUGUUCCUCUCUGUUUGAUGGUCCAUAAUUAGAAAUAUUAGAGCCCUGCAUUUCUAAUCCCCAGCAGAACAAGUGGCAUUUGAAUAAAAGGUAUACAACCUUAUCCCUUAUCACUUAUGCCAAAAGUACAUAAUAUCGAGCUCAUGUGCACUUAAGGCUUUCUGUGCUAAGUAGAGGUGAUAUUUGGCCUAACUCCUACGUUUGUGGAAUUAAAACAUGAUAAUUUUUAGAAGAGUUCUUACUUAACCAAUUGUGUAGACAUCAUACGUGGGCAAUAUUUAUGUGACACUAAUGUAGCAUUAAGAGCCCUAAGACAAAUUUUGUCCAUGAAAACAUACAAAACAGUCAGAGAGUGCCAGACAAUGAGAAGUACUGUGUGAGAAGAGACAGUACCAACGGAAGUCUAAUCCUAAUGAUAUUUUCCUCUGUUGUCCAUACACUCUGUUCAGUUGCCUGCUGAGAAAAACCUAGGUGGUAUUAUUUACAACUGAUCUUUUUUGAGUUUACUUUCCUGAUUUUAAAUACUAAAACAUGCACCUCAAAGUCUGUUUUUCUGUCUCGUUAAUCUUAAUUCAUGGCAGAACAGACCAAUAGUAGUGUAAGGAGGCGCCUAUUUCAUUCUAGGUUUGAAAGGAAACCCAAGAAGCAGCUCUCCAAAGUUGUUUUGUUGUUGUUGUUGUUUUGCAUCCUGGCACUUCUGAUUUAGUAGCUGCUCCUCCUGUCUGCGUUUGAGGUCAAACAUUUAAGUGUUGAAUAAAUGUAAGGGAGGUUUCUCUACCAAGUGUCAUUUACAAGAGCAGAUGCUGCAGGCUGUGAAUUAGGGAUAGUGGAUAUUAGUCUCACAUCAUCUAUUGACUGUUAUUAAUAACCUUGUUUACAUCUAAUCCCUGCCCCAAAUCCCUCCCAUAUGGUACUCAAGUACCAAUUUCUUAUGUUUUCCAAAGGUCACGUAUCAUCAGCACCAAGAAAAGACCACAGGUCCUCUGACACAGCACCACCACUGUGCAAAAUCUGUGUUGAGUUAAACUCUCUACAGACAUACUUUCAGCUUUUAUGCUGUGCUUUGUCCCAAAGUGGUACUCAGAACAAAGGCAUUCCAUUUCCUAAGCAGCUGAAAACUUAGCUAGCAAAGUAAAGUGCACUUAUUCAUUGCAGGCAGUCCAUUUAAAUAUGCACAGCUAUCUUCUAUGUGUUUCUUCCAUUUAAAUAAUCUGCAUAAAUCAGCCUGCAUCGUAGCUUUGUCAGCUGCUGAUCUGCAACAAUGAGAGGAAGUAGAAAGCAAUAGAAUUAAUAUCCACUGGGUGAUCGUAGUUCUGGCCUAACGUUGGAGUGUUUGACUAAUUGAUUGCCCUUAGCACUCUGCUAACAACAGAUGUAUGGUAUGAGUUAAAUUAUUAAAUUUACAUUGCUCUUAUUGCUUUCCCUGAAUAGCCUGAAACAGUUGUCAUUAUUGAAAUUAUUUAAAUCAGAAACAUUGUAUUCAAAAAUGUUUUAAUUGAUUUUCUUAAUUUUUGUUAAUAAAAACUGCUCUAUUAAAAGUACUGUGGGAUAAUGA